rfam:Parcubacteria (Wolfebacteria) bacterium GW2011_GWA2_42_10 TT85_C0001, whole genome shotgun sequence.
UUAGAAGUAAUUUAAGGGCGUAUGGUGGAUGCCUUGACAUCAAACAGCGAUGAAGGACGUGGCGUAGCUGCGAUAAGCUUCGGGGAGGCGCCUAGCAGCCUGUGAUCCGGAGAUUUCCGAAUGGGGAAACCUAAUACAGUAAACCUGUAUUACUCCGACAUUAAUGUCGGAGUGUGCACCCGCUGAAGUGAAACAUCUCAGUAAGCGGCGGAAAAGAGAAAAAUUUUAUUCCCUUAGUAGCGGCGAGUGAAAAGGGAAGAGCCCAAACCAAAGAUGUAGAUAGCAAUAUUUAUAUAUCUGGUGUUGUAAGGUAGAGACGCUGUUUUGCUUAUCGCAAAGCUUUCAAUUUUGGAAAGUUUUGCGAUUUGCGGAAUAAGAGAGAGUUACAAAUUUAUUUGUUAGCCGAAUCCGCUGGAAAGCGGAACCAUAGCGGGUGAAAGUCCCGUAGGCGAAAACGAAUAAACUCUUUAGUUUCUAUUCUUGAGUACCUCGAGGACAGAAUGCUUCGAGGGAAUCUGCCGGCACUAUCCGGUAAGGCUAAAUAUGUUUGAUGAUCGAUAGUGAACUAGUACCGUGAGGGAAAGGUGAAAAGUAGGCCGGCGAGGCCGAUGAAAUAGAAUCUGAAACCAUAUGUCUACAAGGAACGGAAGCUCAACCCCGCAGCAAUGCGGGGCGAGCAACCGUGUGCCUAUUGAAGAAUGAGCCAACGACUUUAUAUAAAUCGUUUGUCUAAGCUUUACGGAGCGGAGGCAAAGGGAAACCAAGUGUUAAAAGCGCGUCAAUAACGGUUUAUAUAAGACCCGAAGCCAGGCGAGCUUGCCCUGGCCAGGAUGAAGUGGGGGUAAAACCCCAUGGAGGUCCGAACCGGUGAGUUGUGCAAAACUCUCGGAUGAGCUGGGGUAAGAAGUGAAAAGCUAAUCGAGCUUGGUAAUAGCUGGUUCUCUCCGAAAUAGCUUUAGGGCUAGCGGCUGUUAUAAAUUUUUUAGGGGUAGAGCGACUGGUUCGAAAGUAAAGAGCGAAAGCUCAGCUUCCGAGUCAAACUCCGAAUACUAAAAAAUCAGAGCAGCUAGUUAGAACAUGGGGGCUAAGCUCCAUGCUCAAAAGGGAAACAGCCCAAAUCGUCGUCUAAGGUCCCCAAAUGUUUGCUAAGUGUAAAAGGCAGUGAUCCGCCAUAGACAGAUAGGAGGUUGGCUUAGAGGUAGCCAUCCUUUAAAGAGUGUGUAACAACUCACUAUUCGAUGGCGGGUUGCGCCGAAAAUUUACCGGGGCUAAGCAAAUUACCGAAGACACGGAUUGUCUCGCUUUCGAGCGAGGCAGUGGUAGGAGAGCAUUUCAAACGCGCUGAAGGUUGACCCGCGAGGGCGGCUGGAGUGUUUGGAAGAGAGAAUGUUGGUAUGAGUAACCACAAUCCGCCUGAGAAUGGCGGACCCCGAAAAUCCAAGGUUUCCUCCGUAACGGAAAUCGGCGGAGGGUUAGGCGAUCCUAAGGCAAUGGCGAAAGCCGCAGCUGAUGGGAAGCUGGUUAAUAUUCCAGCCCUUUCUUUGUUUUCGACGGGGUGACGAAGGAAAUAAAAAUGAGCGCCUUAAUGGUUUGGCGUUGCUUAUUUUAAGAAUUUUCCGACUAGAAAAUCUGUCGGAACGCUUUACGGCAAAAUUCAAAAAUCGGCAAAAUUCGUCUUCGGAUAAAAAUUCGUUUGAAGAGCCUUCCAAGAAAAACCUCUAAGGUUAGAGCAAAGAAAAUCGUACCGUAAACCGACACUGGUGGAUAGGGCGAGAAGCCCAAGGGGAACGGGUGAUUCCUCGUUAAGGAACUCGGCAAAAAAGCGGCCGUAAGUUCGCAAUAAGGCCUUCCCCCACCACUUUUAUCAGAAGUAUUUAAUAUAUUUUCGAUAUAUUAUUUAUAUAAUAAUAUUUGAAAAUGUAGAAAGUGUUUGUUGUAAAAGUGGUGGGGGACGCAGCGAAAGUAUCUCUGGCGACUGUUUAUCAAAAACACAGCUCCCUGCGAACUCGCAAGAGGAUGUAUAGGGGGUGACGCCUGACCGAUGCGAGAAGGUUAACGGUGCCGAUUGAGGCGUCGCAAGACGUUUCAGUUGAGUGCCCGAAGCCCUCGUCAAUGUCGGCCGUAACUAUAACGGUCCAAAGGUAGCGCAAUUCCUUUCCGGGUAAGUUCCGGAGCGCAUGAAAGGCGGAACGACUGGAGAACUGUCUCAACGAGGAGCUCGGUGAAAAUGCGAUUCCCGUGAAGACGCGGGAUACCUGCAGCGGGACGAAAAGACCCCGGGAGCUUUACUGCAGCUUGAUAUUGUCUUUAGAAUUUUGAUGCGUAGCGUAGUGGGGAGGCUUUGAAGCCCUGAUUUCGGUUGGGGUGGAGCCGUCAAUGAAACACCCAUCUUUAAAAUUUUAAAGACUAACCUCAGCGGAAAAAACGCUGGGAGACAGUGUCUGGUGGGCAGUUUUAAUGGGGCGUUAUCCUCCUAAAGAGUAACGGAGGAGUUUAUUAAGGUCGGCUAAGGUCGGAUGGAAAUCGACCGCGUCGCGUAAAGGCAAAAGCCGGCUUAACGGCAAGGCUGACAAGCCGCGCCGAUGCGAAAGCAGAACUUAGUGACCCGACGGUCCUUUAUAGAAAGGCCGGAGACAACGGAUAAAAGCUACCCCGGGGAUAACAGGCUGGUGUGGUCCGAGAGUCCUUAUCGACGACCACGCUCGGCACCUCGAUGUCGGCUCACCACAGCGCGGGGGUGGAGAAGCUCCCAAGCGUUUGGCUGUUCGCCAAUUAAAGUGGUACGUGAGCUGGGUUCAAACCGUCGUGAGACAGGUUGGUCUCUAUCUGUUGCAGGCGUUGAAGUUUGAGGGAAGUUGAUCCUAGUACGAGAGGACCGGAUUGAACGAAUCUCUGGUCUACCGGCUUUGCCACCAGGUGAAGCGCCGGGUAGCUAUGUUCGGCAGGGAUAAGCGCUGAAAGCAUCUAAGCGCGAAGCCCAUCCCAAGAUUAGACUUCAAGACUCGUGGAAGACUACCACGUUGAUAGGCUUCAGGUGUAAGCGCGGCAACGCGUUUAGCCGAGAAGUACUAAUAAGUCAGCACUUCAAAAA